rnacentral:rRNA from 1 species
AUUGAACGCUGGCGGCAUGCCUUACACAUGCAAGUCGAACGGCAGCACGGGAGCAAUCCUGGUGGCGAGUGGCGAACGGGUGAGUAAUAUAUCGGAACGUGCCCAGUCGUGGGGAUAACGUAGCGAAAGCUACGCUAAUACCGCAUACGAUCUAUGGAUGAAAGCGGGGGAUCGCAAGACCUCGCGCGAUUGGAGCGGCCGAUAUCAGAUUAGGUAGUUGGUGAGGUAAAGGCUCACCAAGCCGACGAUCUGUAGCUGGUCUGAGAGGACGACCAGCCACACUGGGACUGAGACACGGCCCAGACUCCUACGGGAGGCAGCAGUGGGAAUUUUGGACAAUGGGCGCAAGCCUGAUCCAGCAAUGCCGCGUGCAGGAUGAAGGCCUUCGGGUGU